rnacentral:rRNA from 1 species
GAUGAACGCUAGCGGGAGGCCUAACACAUGCAAGCCGAGCGGUAUUGUUUCUUCGGAAAUGAGAGAGCGGCGUACGGGUGCGUAACACGUGUGCAACCUGCCUUUAUCUGGGGGAUAGCCUUUCGAAAGGAAGAUUAAUACUCCAUAAUAUAUUGAACGGCAUCGUUUAAUAUUGAAAGCUCCGGCGGAUAGAGAUGGGCACGCGCAAGAUUAGCUAGUUGGUGAGGUAACGGCUCACCAAGGCGAUGAUCUUUAGGGGGCCUGAGAGGGUGAUCCCCCACACUGGUACUGAGACACGGACCAGACUCCUACGGGAGGCAGCAGUGAGGAAUAUUGGUCAAUGGGUGCAAGCCUGAACCAGCCAUCCCGCGUGAAGGACGACUGCCCUAUGGGUUGUAAACUUCUUUUGUAUAGGGAUAAACCUACCCUCGUGAGGGUAGCUGAAGGUACUAUACGAAUAAGCACCGGCUAACUCCGUGCCAGCAGCCGCCGUAAGAC